rnacentral:rRNA from 1 species
AGCGAACGCUGGCGGCAGGCUUAACACAUGCAAGUCGAGCGGGCAUCCUUGUGGUGUCAGCGGCAGACGGGUGAGUAACGCGUGGGAACGUGCCCUUCGGUUCGGAAUAACUCAGGGAAACUUUAGCUAAUACCGGAUACGUGCGAGAGCAGAAAGGUUUAUCUGCCGAAGGAUCGGCUCGCGUCUGAUUAGCUAGUUGGUGAGGUUAGGGCUCACCAAGGCGACGAUCAGUAGCUGGUCUGAGAGGAUGAUCAGCCACACUGGGACUGAGACACGGCCCGGACUCGUACGGGAGGCAGCAGUGGGGAAGAGUGCACAAGGGGCGGAAGCCAGAUGUAGCAACGCCGCGUGGGGGAUGACAGCCUGGGGUUAGGAAUGCGAAGCCGUCUGUGUCGAGGCGAUAAUGACGGUAAUGGGGAAAGAAGCACCGGCUAACUACGUG